rnacentral:rRNA from 1 species
GUCCACGCCCUAACGAUGUCAACUAGGUGUUGGGUGGGUAAACCAUUUAGUACCGGAGCUAACGCGUGAAGUUGACCGCCUGGGGAGUACGGCCGCAAGGUUAAACUCAAAGGAAUUGACGGGGACCCGCACAAGCGGUGGAUGAUGUGGAUUAAUUCGAUGCAACGCGAAAACCUUACCUACCCUUGACAUGUCCGGAAGCCCUUAGAGAUUUGGGUGUGCUCGAAAGAGAGCCGGAACACAGGUGCUGCAUGGCUGUCGU